GAUGAACGCUGGCGGCGUGCUUAACACAUGCCAGUCGAACGAAGCACUUUAUUUGAUUUCCUUCGGGACUGAUUAUUUUGUGACUGAGUGGCGGACGGGUGAGUAACGCGUGGGUAACCUGCCUUGUACAGGGGGAUAACAGUUGGAAACGGCUGCUAAUACCGCAUAAGCGCACAGCAUCGCAUGAUGCAGUGUGAAAAACUCCGGUGGUAUAAGAUGGACCCGCGUUGGAUUAGCUAGUUGGUGAGGUAACGGCCCACCAAGGCGACGAUCCAUAGCCGAACUGAGAGGGUGACCGGCCACAUUGGGACUGAGACACGGCCCGAACUCCUACGGGAGGCAGCAGUGGGGAAUAUUGCACAAUGGGCGAAAGCCUGAUGCAGCGACGCCGCGUGAGCGAAGAAGUAUUUCGGUAUGUAAAGCUCUAUCAGCAGGGAAGAUAAUGACGGUACCUGACUAAGAAGCACCGGCUAAAUACGUG
rnacentral:rRNA from 1 species